rnacentral:lncRNA from 12 species
CUUGGUCUAGUAAAUUCCCUGAAGGAGAGAAGCAGCAGCUUUGCGGGCCACUGGGCUGCGGGCGGCGGUGCCGAGACGCCAGAGGCUCCCUCCAGCGCCCUGCCCCUCGCCGCCCGCCGCGGCCGUCCCUGGAGGGCCACCUGCCGGGCGGGCGGCGCAGGGGGAGGCCGUGCGGGGCGCGCGGGGUCCGUCCCACCUGCCGGGGGUCGGGGCUCCGGGGACCACCGGGCGCGCCACGAGCCCUCGCUCCCGCAGCUUCGGAGGCCGCGGUCCUCCGCCGCCCACAGAGGUGCGGCGCCCGCGCAGGGAGGAGAGGAAGGGGGCCCGGAAGGUGCGGCGGCUGGAGCGCAGGGUCCCCGCGCCCCCGGCGGCCGCGCCGCACUCCUCACCGUGGGGCAGCGCUGGGCGGCGGCGGCCUCCCGAGGCGCUGGGGCGGGGGACGCGGACCCGGGCACCAUCCUCGGAAGGGAGCCCGAGCCGGGCUGGAGGGCCCCAGGGCAAGGCACCUGCCGAAGUCCGGGGGAGUCCGGUGGGCCUCGGGAGCGGCCGCCGUUGCCGUCGAGCGUUCCUGCGGGCGGUCCAAGGCCCAGGGAGCCCGGCUGCAGCCCCUCCGAAGGAGGCUCCAGGGCCAGAUACCGCCCCCCCAUCCCAAGGGGAGGGGGCCGAUGCAAGAACUGGGCGGGCAGCUGGACUCGGGCUCUCAGGCCGCAGGGGCGUGGGGCGCAUUCUGCCUCGGGGAUCCAGAGUUCCAGCUCAGCCCCCCUCGGGUUCCUCAGCCCCACACUUCUGAGUGCGCCCCCCUCAGCCCCCUCCCGCCCCAGCCCGGGGCCGCAGGCUCCCGGCAGUGACCCCCGCAGUGACUCCAUCAGUGUCCCUGGCAGGGGGGCCCAGGUGGUUCACCGCAUCCACACGCUGGCUCCACCGGCUGCUGCUCUGCAAGUCGGGUGGCUGCUCUUGGGGCCUCGAUGUGACCCAGGCAGCAGACGCGUGGCGGUGCCGCACUGGGGGCCCGCAAGGCAGAAAGGGCCUGGGGCGUCCACGGAAAGGCGCCCCCAUCUCGGACAGCGCAGGCGUCUGGAGAGCUUGCACAAAAGCCCUGAAGAAAUGAUUGUAGCUGUGCCAGAGCAAGGCACCUGCACUCAGCCCAGACCCCCGCGGGGCUCUAAGGACAGAAGGAGCUUGGGGCCCUCCCUCAGGGAAACGCAGGGGCAUCCCCACAGCCCGCUCACCUGA